CCACCACCGUGUUUCUUCCUAUCACAGUCUCCAGAUCUCGGAUAACUUCUUGCUGAUUCAGCCAGUCAGAUUCUUCUAUCACGAACACCAGAGCAAACUUGGAGUCUAUUGAGUUUUAUUCGGAUGAAGAAAUCGAAGGAGAAGAGCCCUAUCAAGUCACGUCGGAUGAGGAAGACAACUAUGAAGCUAUCUUGUGGCAACGAGAUGGUAGUUCAGCUUCUGAUUCAAGGGAUGAACCAGAUCGUGAAGCACCAGACCCAGAAUCACCCGACUCAUGCAACACCAGAAAUGAUAAUCACUUCAAGAAGGGAGAAGACAUGGAGUAUGAUAGAGGAACAACGAAGGACUACCAUCAUCAAUGUCCUAAAAGGAGUAAACAGAAGUCCGCCCAUCACAUCUUGUCAUACCAAGUGCCUAAAGCCUCACGUCAAGCAAAACUGAGAGACAAGUACUUUCGCACAAAUUCACAGGUAGUACAGGAAGUGACUCAAACAUGGCACUAGCAAAGACUCAUUGCUAUCUAAUCCCAACCAGACCUACAAGACAAAUUUCAGGUUA